rnacentral:pre_miRNA from 1 species
UGGGGGGCAGGCAAGACUGGAUGGGGCAGCUGAGAAGGGCUGGAAGGGUAGCCUCACUCAGCCCUAUAUUCCCUAG